GGGCGAUUCAAGUGAGGGGCUAGGGCUUAGAGGGAUGGGGGCUCCAUCUCUAUUCUCGCUUGCUGAAACUUCCCUCUCUUCAGGUGCGUGAAGGCGUGGUCGACGGUCUCUUCCUCCACAGUUCCCGGAUGAUGGUUCGGAAGUCUGGCGAUUCCGACUGAGAAAGAGGUCAAUAACAAGAAGGUAAUGGAAUUCAAUGUUUUGUGUUUGUUAUAGAGGCAUAUUUGCAACAGUAUAUCAGAGAAUAUUUCAAGGUAGUCUGUCCAGAUAGCUUAGAAUGUGUUUCAUGAUGCAUAUGGCUGAAGCGAUUUUGGCUACUUUUUAGAUUGCUCAUUAAUUUUUUUGCUGGCGUUGGCUGGUACAAAUAUAUAUAAGAAGUACUAUCCCUUUAUCAACUGUCUAACUCAAAUAUGUGCCAAGAUAACCCAACUAAAGUGGUUCGCCACUCCAUGUAUGAAGUAUUAGUGAAUUAUUUGUAAUUUACGAAACAAAAAUUUUUGCAUUGUACGCAUACAUGUUGAAAUUUAUGUUAUAAUUUUUUUUUGAUAAGAAACAAAUGUAAAUUAGAAUCAUACUAAUAUAGGUAUGCUAUAUACAUUAAUUUGAUAGUACCAUGAAUUUAGAAUUAAUCUUUAGUGUCAUUAAAAAAUAUACAUAAAUUUGAUAGCCCCAUAAAUUUGGGGUACUGUUAUAUUUAGUACAGCCAAUAUGGUGAUGUUCAGGUGUUUUUGACUAAUCUCUGCAGUUUUUCAAUUCAUCUGGGGUACUUGUGAUUUUGAACGAUACUAGAAAAAUUUAUGGGUUAUAGGAACCACGGGGUUAAGAAAAUGGAUCCAAAUUCAGAGCUGGAUUCUUCUUCCCUCAAAAUAAGAAGAAAACGUUUCCUCAACUCCAUAUUUUGGCACCUCAGGGUCUACAUGGUAAAAGCUGGCAAUAUUUCUAUCAUUUGGAUCCAAAGAUGAACCAGUUUGUUUUGCUUCCACAUGGCCACUUCAAUACUUAAAGGGCAUCAAACUUCAAUUUGAUCUGUCUUAAAAGAUGAUUGAAAGGCUUGCGACUUUUACCAUUUUCCAGGAGGAACUCACUAUCUCAAAGAAAAAUGGGGAAUUGACUGCUACAGAAUCAGAAAAAUGGGAGAUCGCAUCAAAGAGGCAGUGAUUAAGUUGGUGAAAUUGCAGUUGCACAGUUGGGGGAGAACGGAAAAGGAAAGCAGAGGAAUGUUAUUCCCAUAUUUUCUUGCUCCUAAUUUGUUUGAUUUUCUUGUGGUAUGUGUUCUCUUUUAUUAUGGGUUUUGGAGAAGGCAUCAAAGAGAGAGACUUGGUUGUUUGUAUAAAUGGAUUUAUUGAUGGCAAUGAAAGAGUUAUUGAACCUAGGGGAAGCAGCAGCAAGGAGAUCAAGGGCACGAGCUUAAUGUUAAUAGAUGUUCAUUUGGGUGCCUUAAUGUACCAAAGAGUGGCCAGCACAUAAUUGAAGACUUCUACCGUUUCCUCUCUUUUACCGUCAGCAAUUAAUUGGGGUUAAUCUUUCGUCGGUUACGGAAACGUAAAAGGGGAAAAGAAGGAAAAGAACUGAUCAAUUUUUUCUGGAAGGAGAAAAAAGAGAAGAAGGCAGCGGCAGAGCACGGGGAUUUCAGGCUUUUCUAAACUUAGUUUUUCUUUUAAUUUUUUUUUUAUAUGAAUUCAAUCAUAUUUCCAGUUAUGUUUCGAAACUAAUUUUCCUUAGCUAAGGCUAUGGUGUAGCCAUGACUAUGAAUGAUUAAAUUCUGAAUUGAAUUAUUUUCGAGUUUUCAAUUUCAUUGA